UUAUAGCAAAGUUUUUUUAUAUCGAAAUUUAUUUGUGUGGGCUACUUUACAGCUAGGAUCGUUUCAGCGAGGCUUAAUAAUUUAUAAUAGAAUAGAACAAUACCAACGAUGAGAGAUAACUAAUGACGUCAUUUCAUACUUUCAAAUUACAUUUUUACAUGAACAUCUACAUAUGAAAUUUUUAAUUUCGUCGUGGAUUGUAUCCAUACUUCUCGCCUAAUCCGUGUUUCGGGAUUUAAGGAAAAAUAAAUCAUUAUGAGGAUAAUAAAUUGUAGUACAUUCGUCUCCUGGAUUACUUGCCAUCCAAGAACUCCAAAAAGACAAUCUCCUUUGAGUCUUUGACAAUGCAAUCCAAUCUAGUAAAAUGAUAAUGUAUUCAUUUUACUAAAAGGAAUUAAACCCCUUGAGGUUCUUUGACGUUGUAGAGAAGUAUAUGAGUCAAAGUCAAUGAAGAAGAUAACUUGUAGCUCCACAUAGCGGAAUAUAUAUAUUCCUCAAUCAUUCAAUCGAUUAAAAAUAUCGUCAGUUCAUUGGUAUUUUAUUGACUAUCAACAGAAUUAUCAUAUAUAUCAAAUCAUAAGGCCUCUUCAUGAAAUCUCCGGAGUUAAAGAAAUCAUCGUUAUUAAGUAUCAAAGGUCUGAUAUAUUUCAUUUCCAAGAAUAAGUUUAUUUGUCUUUUUUUUUUCACGCAAAAAUAUAAACCUCUAUUUACUUACACUAUUUACAAAAUGGUUUUGACGAAACUGCCAAUUUUUAUUUGGAUCCUUCACAAUUUAAUUUUUAAGGUCAAAGUAUGAUUAAAUUAAUUAAUUCCAGUAAAUUGUUACGAUAUAUUGACAUGACGAAACAAACUCUUUUUUCGUUAUUAUUGUAGUCCUAACCAAGCUUAUUUUAUUUUGAUUUUUUUUAAUACUAUAUGUAUAUUCUACAUCUAGCUACAACCAAUUUAGUCUAAUAAUUAAUAACUCACGUGUUUUUUUUGGCAACAUUCUUAAUAAAAUAUGACAUUAAUA
rnacentral:lncRNA from 1 species